GUGACUGCGUACCUUUUGUAUAAUGGGUCAGCGACUUAUAUUCUGUAGCAAGGUUAACCGUAUAGGGGAGCCGAAGGGAAACCGAGUCUUAACCGGGCGUUAAGUUGCAGGGUAUAGACCCGAAACCCGGUGAUCUAGCCAUGGGCAGGUUGAAGGUUGGGUAACACUAACUGGAGGACCGAACCGACUAAUGUUGAAAAAUUAGCGGAUGACUUGUGGCUGGGGGUGAAAGGCCAAUCAAACCGGGAGAUAGCUGGUUCUCCCCGAAAGCUAUUUAGGUAGCGCCUCGUGAACUCAUCUUCGGGGGUAGAGCACUGUUUCGGCUAGGGGGUCAUCCCGACUUACCAACCCGAUGCAAACUGCGAAUACCGAAGAAUGUUAUCACGGGAGACACACGGCGGGUGCUAACGUCCGUCGUGAAGAGGGAAACAACCCAGACCGCCAGCUAAGGUCCCAAAGUCACAGUUAAGUGGGAAACGAUGUGGGAAGGCUCAGACAGCCAGGAUGUUGGCUUAGAAGCAGCCAUCAUUUAAAGAAAGCGUAAUAGCUCACUGGUCGAGUCGGCCUGCGCGGAAGAUGUAACGGGGCUAAACUGUGCACCGAAGCUGCGGCAGCGACGCUUAUGCGUUGUUGGGUAGGGGAGCGUUCUGUAAGCCUGCGAAGGUGUCCUGUGAGGGAUGCUGGAGGUAUCAGAAGUGCGAAUGCUGACAUAAGUAACGAUAA
rnacentral:rRNA from 1 species